rnacentral:rRNA from 1 species
AUACGGAGGGGGCUAGCGUUGUUCGGAAUUACUGGGCGUAAAGCGCACGUAGGCGGAUUAAAAAGUUAGAGGUGAAAUCCCAGGGCUUAACUCUGGAACUGCCUUUAAAACUAGUAGGCUAGAGUUCGAGAGAGGUGAGUGGAAUUCCAAGUGUAGAGGUGAAAUUCGUAGAUAUUUGGAGGAACACCAGUGGCGAAGGCGGCUCACUGGCUCGAUACUGACGCUGAGGUGCGAAAGCGUGGGGAGAAAACAGGAUUAGAAACCCCAGUAGUCC